AUGCUGGAGGCUGUUACGUUUGGUUCCCUUUUGUGGGAUGUUGAGAGCUACGCUGGUUCCAGGAUCAGGUUAAGAUGAUGAUAGCGGAGUCUUCAUGACAGACAUGAUGGAGUGGACGCAUAUGUUGUAUGUGGUCGUGGGAUUGCAUGGCUAGGAUCGAACACUACAUAUGAUAACAAGGCGUUUCCUAUUACAAAGAAGAUGAAGAUGUCUAUUGUU
rnacentral:lncRNA from 1 species